GAUCAUGGCUCAGAUUGAACGCUGGCGGCAGGCCUAACACAUGCAAGUCGAAUGGUAACAGGAAACAGCUUGCUGUUUCGCUGACGAGUGGCGGACGGGUGAGUAAUGUCUGGGAAACUGCCUGAUGGAGGGGGAUAACUACUGGAAACGGUAGCUAAUACCGCAUAACGUCGCAAGACCAAAAGAGGGGGGACCCUUCGGGCCUCUUGCCAUCGGAUGUGCCCAGAUGGGAUUAG
rnacentral:rRNA from 1 species